CAAGCAAUAGCCGUCAUUUCAACGUCUCGUUUCAGUAUAGACCCGAUAUAGCCGGGCUGUGUCUAGCCCAUAUCUAGCCCAAAUAAACUUUAAUUUGGUUACAUGUGGUUUUUGACAAAAUACUUUGUGAGAUGUAUGCUAUUUCAUCAUGUAAGCAAAGUUAACAGCGAUUACAAGUUACAACUCCGAACCGCUAGAUGGCAGCUGCAGUACACAAACACGAGGCCAAAUCUCGCGAGAAAGACUUCCGCUGUUUGAAAAUCAACACCAGCGAGCAGCCAGGGGGAAAGCAAUCUACCACACUCGUUUGGUCUUGUGUCAAAGCUGUGCGAAACUGGAGGGAGAAACUUGAGAGACCGUGCCGGAAGAAUGCUGGACAGAGUUCCAUAAAAUUCAUUAAUUUCAAAGUUCAACAUGAAUGGUGGUGGUCCACUGCAGAAGCAAGCAUUUGAAAAAACAUCAGUUCUCAGUUAUUAAAGAUGCUGUGUUGAACAACUUCCCAGCAGCAACAGAACUGGAAGUGAAGGAUGCAAUGGGGGGCAUUUCAAACAGGCACCAGGGAGGACGUGGUGUAUAGAAAUUAGUACAAUUAAUAAGUUGAAGUGAACUGAAGAUAGUUUGUUAAUGUUUAGAUGUUAUUUCAUUUUUAAAAUUGUAUUUUGUUAUUUAUGCUUUUAUUUUGUUACUGUUUUUAUUCUUUUUGUUAAAAGUAGUUUUUCUUCAUUUUGUCUUAUCUGAAUUUCUAUUGUAUUAAUACUAUUUUUUGUAAUAAAUUGCAGGAUUACAUGUUUAUGAGAACCUUUUUUAAUGGAUUAAAAAGAA